rnacentral:rRNA from 1 species
UCUAAAGCCAUACCACCCUAAACGUGUCCAAUCUCAUCUGAUCUCAGAAGCUAAGCAGGGUCGGGCCUGGUUAGUACUUGGACGGAAAACAGAUCUUCAGAA